GCAAACCAGAGACCAGACUAACAAGAGAUGUGCAGACGGCUAUACAGCAACUCCCAAAUCGAAAUGAUUGCAUGAAGCUCGUUCAAAUAUCCAAAGGCAUAAAUUAAGCACUGAGACCGUCUGUCCCUAAAAUGUGUCAGUCAGACAGACAGAUGACUGAGGGAAGACAGCUGAUGUUUCCGUCGUUUGCAAAAAUACAGUACUCUGAUUUUGAGGGGGAGGCACCAAAAUUCGUGAUUCAACUUUGAAAGCAAUGUUCAAAGUUUAAAAAAAAAAUUUAAAGCUUGAAAAAUGUCCCUGGAAAGGAACAUGAAGACAAGUGUUAUGAAAAGAUGAAAGUCUCUCCCUUCAAUGAAAUGAAGGAAAAACAUCAUUGCACCAGCCACGUGGAUGCUCCUGACAGCAGCGUCUCCUUGGGGAGGGUUGGAGGGGCGGUGGCUGUUUUUCCUUGUGGGAGAAGAGCUGGGAUGAGAACUCCAGGGAAACCCGCAAGAGUGGAUCCAGGCUUUGUGAGGCCUGAAGCUUAGACACUUCAGGGGAUUCCCGUUGAGGGAAAGAAUAUGUAAAUACAAUAUAAGCUUAGGUACGAAAGUGAAUGUUUAUUUAAAAUGAGAAAAGAAAUCACUACAAAGUAUAGGCACCCUGUAUAUUCAGGUCCCUUUCUUCUGCCACCCGUUUAGGUAACUUACUAGAGAUGUUUGCAGACUCCAUCCUGAUUUCUCUCUCCACCCAGAACACUCUAUGGCUCCCAGC
rnacentral:lncRNA from 1 species